CUCUACACACCGCUUGGGGAAGGGGGCAAGACCGAGAUUCCGGCUGUCCGAACCGCGUCGCCUACUUCGCCCUCCUCCCCGGGUUGGAUGGGGGCCCCUUCUCCGCGGUGCCAGCGCGGGGUUCUUAGCAUAGCCCUGAUCACUUGUCCCCAAACAAGAGCCCCUGGAUCUCCUGGAGGACACAGGGAGGUACUUUCCACCAUUCUCCUACCUGCAGGCCCUGUCUUCUUUCUCCGAGUCCUGCCCUGACCCU
rnacentral:lncRNA from 1 species